rnacentral:rRNA from 1 species
CAGCAGCCACGGUAAUUCGAGGGGUGCAAGCGUUAUUCGGAUUGAUUGGGUGUAAAGGGUGUGCAGACGGCUUAUUAAGUCACUUGUUAAAUUCUUCGGCCUAACUGAAGGUCUGCAAGUGAUACUGAUGAGCUAGAGGGUGGAAGAGAGAAGUGGAAUUCUCGGAGUAGCGGUAAAAUGCGUAGAUCUCGAGAGGAACACCAAUGGCGAAGGCAGCUUCUUGAUCCAUUCCUGACGUUCAUACACGAAAGCGUGGGGAGCAAACAGGAUUAGAUACCCCCGUAGUCCCUGUCUCUUAUAC